rnacentral:rRNA from 1 species
CUCAGAACGAACGCUAGCGGCAGGCCUAACACAUGCAAGUCGAACGACCUAGCAAUAGGGAGUGGCAAACGGGUGAGUAACACGUGGGAACCUACCCAGGGGUACGGAAUAACUUAGGGAAACUUAAGCUAAUACCGUAUGUGUCCUUAGGGAGAAAGAUUUAUCGCCCUUGGAUGGGCCCGCGUCUGAUUAGCUUGUUGGUGGGGUAAUGGCCUACCAAGGCUACGAUCAGUAGCUGGUCUGAGAGGAUGAUCAGCCACACUGGGACUGAGACACGGCCCAGACUCCUACGGGAGGCAGCAGUGAGGAAUAUUGGACAAUGAGCGAAAGCUUGAUCCAGCAAUGUCGCGUGAGUGAAGAAGGCCUUAGGGUUGUAAAGCUCUUUCAGCGGGGAAGAUAAUGACGGUACCCGCAAAACGAAGCCCCGGCUAACUCCGUGCCAGCAGCCGCGGUAAACGCACUCGU